AACGAACGCUGGCGGCAGGCUUAACACAUGCAAGUCGAGCGAGACCUUCGGGCCUAGCGGCGGACGGGUGAGUAGCGCGUGGGAACGUGCCCUUCUCUACGGAAUAGCCCCGGGAAACUGGGAGUAAUACCGUAUACGCCCUUUGGGGGAAAGAGUUAUCGGAGAAGGAUCGGCCCGGGUUGGAUUAGGUAGUUGGUGGGGUAAUGGCCCACCAAGCCGACGAGCCAUAGCUGGUUUGAGAGGAUGAUCAGCCACACUGGGACUGGGCCACGGCCCAGACUCCUACGGGAGGCAGCAGUGGCGAAUCCUAGACAAUCGCGGCAACCCUGAUCUAGCCAUGCCGGGUGAGUGAUGAAGGCCUUAGGGUUGUAAAGCUCUUUCAGCUGGGAAGAUAAUGACGGUACCAGCAGAAGAAGCCCCGGCUAACUCCGUG
rnacentral:rRNA from 1 species